CCUCCACUCUUCUACCAUCUCCAUUUUCUCCCUUUGUACAAGAUGUUCUGUUGUAUAAAUAGCAAAUAGAGCAUUUUGUAUGAAGGGAGUUUUUGGAGGCAUAGCAUCGACCUUAAAG
rnacentral:precursor_RNA from 12 species